rnacentral:rRNA from 1 species
AUGAAGGCCUUCGGGUCGUAAAGCCCUGUCGGGGGGGACGAAACCUCGGUGACCUAAUACGUCGCCGACUUGACGGCACCCCCAAAGGAAGCACCGGCUAACUCCGUGC